GUUCUUUAUGUGGUAGCAUAUGAUAUGAUUUCCUUCCUUUUUUUUUUUUUGCUUAUCAUCAACAGAAAUGUAUUUCUUAUAGAUCUGAAGGCUGGGAAGCCCACGAUCAACAUGCUGGCAGAUUAAAUGUCUGAUGAAAAUUCCUCAAAGAGAAAGAUUUUGGCAUUGUGGAAGAAGAGAAAUAAAAAACAGUAGAAGCACUAAAAAGCAUCAAAAUCGAAGAGUUCAAAAACUGUUUUGAUCAGUGGAAAAAGUGGCUCAGUGGGUGUAUUGCAUCAAAUGGAGAGUACUUUGAAGGCAACUGAAAUUUAAACGUGUGUGCCGUAACCCAGGUGGUCAUCUCACCAGCAGUGUGUAAAGGAGCAGAAGGAACAAGCCCACACCUUAGAGGGAAUCACGGGGUCACUUGUCAUGUGAGAGGGAGCAGGAUGUCCAGUUGAAGACGCUCCUGUGGACAAGCAAGUAGGAUGAAUCUUGAGCAGAUGGUGGUUCUGGAAGACUUUGGUUGUCUGCCUGACGUCCAUGCUCCUCCCCUUCUUUUCCACUGGAAAAAACUUUCUCCCACAACACAGACUGGAAAUACCAGGUACUCACUUUCCAAGCCUCCCUUGCAAGUAGGAGUAGCCAGGUACGAUGACUGAGUUCUGGACUGUGAUGUGUAAGGGGAAAUCAGCUGCAUGGCUUCAGGCAAAGGGUUUCCUGCUUUAAAAGAGAACUUGGUGAGGAGUGUCCUCCCCUCCCCCCCACACCCCAGCUUCUUGUCUUUGAAUAUGGCUAUAUAAAGCAACCAUCUUACAGCUAUGGUAUGACAAA